rnacentral:lncRNA from 1 species
UAUUCAUAGCUUCUAUUUAAAAUUAAAAAUUUUAUGAGAAUUUAAUUUAAUUAAUUUUUUAUUAUAAUUUUUUUAUUUUUGAUUUUAAUUUAAAUUUAUUUUCAUUUUAUAUUAAAAAUAAAUGAUUCAUGUUAAUUUUUGUUAUUAUGCAAAGCUAACUGCGUUCAAGAUUCAAUGGGCUAAAGGAGAAAUAAGUCUAAAAGAGAAGUAAACCCGCCUAAAACCUAUCGAAAACCAUCCAACGACCACCACCAUCUCCACCAUGGACUCAAUUCAAAACAGAGAGGUAUAGCACAUGCCUAAGGAGAUAAGCUGAAAAACAAACACAACAAACAAUCAUAUGGAAGUCCAAAACACCUGGACAGUUAUUAUAAGAUGAUUCUUAUUGUGCAACACCACCAGCACCUUCGGCAUAUCCAAACUAAUCCGAAACUUAAGACGGAUUUAGUUCAUCGAUGACAACGUAAACACCAUACGAAGGGAGACGACGUGACAGAGUCAAGAGAGCGUCGUCACCGGCAGUCAAACUUUCUCUCAAAAUCCAACAGCAAAAUCAUCGGAGAAGGAGAGAACGAAAUUUCUCUCUGCUAAGCAGACUCAAAAGACACCUGCAUAACAAAACUAUACAAACCGAUCAGAAAAGAAAUGUUGAGACCAACACCGCUUCCUCGACCGUCAACAUCAAAAUCCUCACUGCAUUCAGUUCACACCUUGCAAGACAAAGAAAACCCUCAUAAAUUUUUUUUAUUCUUGUGUUUCCUCUUUAUUCACGUUAAUUGUUAAUAGUAUCCAUUGUGAUUUGAGUUUGGAAUUUAAAUUAUAAGUAUUAACAAGGUGAGUAGUAAGAAACUUCUUGUGUGGGACCAUUCAACUGGUGUUUGGUUGACAACUAUGCUAGUGGGCGGCUAUUGACACAACUCAUUGCUUGCUGAGAGUCCAAGAAAGACAGACAGUGCUGACGAUGGAGGGCCCAAACACCUAUUUUCAUAUGAAUUAUUAUUUUAACGUUUUGUAAAAAUUAUAUUCUUUCCUGUUUUGUAAUUUUGUAUCUAUUUUUUUUUAAUUACUUAAAUAUUAUUAUUUGCCUUUUUAACUUAUAUUAAUAUAUAAAUUAAUUAUUAUAAUUCUAU